AAAGUGUUGUCAUAAAAUUUAUAAUUUGUAGUAACAAAUAUGGAGUCAAAUAUUUUUAAUUAAAUUAUGGUUGUUUUUUAUGUUAAUUCUUUUUUUUUUAUGAUAAUACUUUUUUGACCAGGAUUUAAUGAGAAUAUUUAAUUCGUAAUUAGGGAUAGAAAUAGACUAGGAUUUUAGAAGUCUUGAGUCUGACCUACGAUAAACUUACAAGUCC
rnacentral:lncRNA from 1 species